AGAGGAGUGGCAGAGUGGUCGAUUGCGGCGGUCUUGAAAACCGCUGAGGGUUACACCUCCGGGGGUUCGAAUCCCUCCUCCUCUGCGA
rnacentral:tRNA from 1 species